ACGAAUGAAUUAAUAAUUAAUUCAUGUGAUAUAUGAAAGUUAUCAGAAGAAAAAGUAGGGUCUUUCACUUCGAUAACCCUAUUUGACCGAGCUGUUCGUCUGGGAAAGGUGAAAGUCUGUUGAAAGUCGAAGACAGCCUUCAAGAAAUGCGACUACUUGUUGGAAAGGACGAGCAACUGAAGACAUGACACGGUUGAGAUAUUUUAGCCAUGUUUGAAAGCGGCAGGUUAAAUACAGAAAAAUCGUCGAUGACAUAAAGAUCAUAUUCAAAGCAUCGUUAUGAGUCCUAUUUGUUCGAAGGAAUGAUCGAUUUCUUUGGUUUCUUAGUAUUUCUAUGUUUCGAUCUUGGAGCACAAAAAUGCCGUCAAGUUUCAGUUACAUAUUGAAGUGAGAACACGAACGAAACUGCCAAAGUUUCCCACUAUUCUUGACAUCAAUUAUUGGACCUCUUCAAUACAUGUCCAGAAAAUAUUUUCA